GGAAAGAGCUGUAUGAAUUGACAGUGAAAGAUGUUCAAAAAAGAAAAAAAGAAGGAAGAUAACAGAGCUGGUGUUUGCUGCCUCAAACACCUGCAAUCACACUGUGUGGUCUUAAGGAAGAAAAACCCAGAGAAAGGAAAAGACCAAUGUAAUUAACACAUGGUCAAGAGCCAAGGUUCCUCUUCCCUGACAAGCAGGGAGCAGCCUCCAGAAUGCCAGCAUACCAGGCCCGGUUGUAGGCACUGAACUUCAAUGCAGCCGAGGAGUGUGAAGGGCAGUGUUGAAGGAGCAUCAGCUCGGGGCAGGGAGCAGCUUCCAGCCCAGCAGUAAUGAUCUACUCAGAGUUGUCAGGGUGCACAGGGAAGUUUCCACUGGUGGUCUUCAUGGGGCUGCUGCUACUUGACCUGACCAAAGACAUGACGAAGAGAUAGCCAAGAGGAUCACAAAGACCUGGCUUUGUUGGGAAAACAUGGAACGUGUUAAAAACAU
rnacentral:lncRNA from 1 species